rnacentral:rRNA from 1 species
AUGAACGCUAGCUACAGGCUUAACACAUGCAAGUCGAGGGGCAGCGGGAUUGAAGCUUGCUUCAAUUGCCGGCGACCGGCGCACGGGUGAGUAACGCGUAUCCAACCUUCCGUACACUCAGGGAUAGCCUUUCGAAAGAAAGAUUAAUACCUGAUGGUAUGAUGAGAUUGCAUGAUAGCAUCAUUAAAGAUUUAUCGGUGUACGAUGGGGAUGCGUUCCAUUAGGUAGUAGGCGGGGUAACGGCCCACCUAGCCAACGAUGGAUAGGGGUUCUGAGAGGAAGGUCCCCCACAUUGGAACUGAGACACGGUCCAAACUCCUACGGGAGGCAGCAGUGAGGAAUAUUGGUCAAUGGACGAGAGUCUGAACCAGCCAAGUAGCGUGAAGGAUGAAGGUCCUACGGAUUGUAAACUUCUUUUAUAAGGGAAUAAACCCUCCCACGUGUGGGAGCUUGUAUGUACCUUAUGAAUAAGCAUCGGCUAACUCCGUGCCAGCAGCCGCGGUAAUACGGAGGAUGCGAGCGUUAUCCGGAUUUAUUGGGUUUAAAGGGAGCGCAGACGGGUCGUUAAGUCAGCUGUGAAAGUUUGGGGCUCAACCUUAAAAUUGCAGUUGAUACUGGCGUCCUUGAGUGCGGUUGAGGUGUGCGGAAUUCGUGGUGUAGCGGUGAAAUGCUUAGAUAUCACGAAGAACUCCGAUUGCGAAGGCAGCACACUAAUCCGUAACUGACGUUCAUGCUCGAAAGUGUGGGUAUCAAACAGGAUUAGAUACCCUGGUAGUCCACACGGUAAACGAUGGAUACUCGCUGUUGGCGAUAUACUGUCAGCGGCUUAGCGAAAGCGUUAAGUAUCCCACCUGGGGAGUACGCCGGCAACGGUGAAACUCAAAGGAAUUGACGGA